rnacentral:rRNA from 1 species
GGUUAAGCGACUAAGCGUACACGGUGGAUGCCCUGGCAGUCAGAGGCGAUGAAGGACGUGCUAAUCUGCGAUAAGCGUCGGUAAGGUGAUAUGAACCGUUAUAACCGGCGAUUUCCGAAUGGGGAAACCCAGUGUGAUUCGUCACACUAUCAUUAACUGAAUCCAUAGGUUAAUGAGGCGAACCGGGGGAACUGAAACAUCUAAGUACCCCGAGGAAAAGAAAUCAACCGAGAUUCCCCCAGUAGCGGCGAGCGAACGGGGAGGAGCCCAGAGCCUGAAUCAGUGUGUGUGUUAGUGGAAGCGUCUGGAAAGGCGCGCGAUACAGGGUGACAGCCCCGUACACAAAAAUGCACAUGCUGUGAGCUCGAUGAGUAGGGCGGGACACGUGGUAUCCUGUCUGAAUAUGGGGGGACCAUCCUCCAAGGCUAAAUACUCCUGACUGACCGAUAGUGAACCAGUACCGUGAGGGAAAGGCGAAAAGAACCCCGGCGAGGGGAGUGAAAAAGAACCUGAAACCGUGUACGUACAAGCAGUGGGAGCACAGAGCAAUCUGUGUGACUGCGUACCUUUUGUAUAAUGGGUCAGCGACUUAUAUUCUGUAGCAAGGUUAACCGAAUAGGGGAGCCGAAGGGAAACCGAGUCUUAACUGGGCGUUAAGUUGCAGGGUAUAGACCCGAAACCCGGUGAUCUAGCCAUGGGCAGGUUGAAGGUUGGGUAACACUAACUGGAGGACCGAACCGACUAAUGUUGAAAAAUUAGCGGAUGACUUGUGGCUGGGGGUGAAAGGCCAAUCAAACCGGGAGAUAGCUGGUUCUCCCCGAAAGCUAUUUAGGUAGCGCCUCGUGAAUUCAUCUCCGGGGGUAGAGCACUGUUUCGGCAAGGGGGUCAUCCCGACUUACCAACCCGAUGCAAACUGCGAAUACCGGAGAAUGUUAUCACGGGAGACACACGGCGGGUGCUAACGUCCGUCGUGAAGAGGGAAACAACCCAGACCGCCAGCUAAGGUCCCAAAGUCAUGGUUAAGUGGGAAACGAUGUGGGAAGGCCCAGACAGCCAGGAUGUUGGCUUAGAAGCAGCCAUCAUUUAAAGAAAGCGUAAUAGCUCACUGGUCGAGUCGGCCUGCGCGGAAGAUGUAACGGGGCUAAACCAUGCACCGAAGCUGCGGCAGCGACACUGUGUGUUGUUGGGUAGGGGAGCGUUCUGUAAGCCUGUGAAGGUGUGCUGUGAGGCAUGCUGGAGGUAUCAGAAGUGCGAAUGCUGACAUAAGUAACGAUAAAGCGGGUGAAAAGCCCGCUCGCCGGAAGACCAAGGGUUCCUGUCCAACGUUAAUCGGGGCAGGGUGAGUCGACCCCUAAGGCGAGGCCGAAAGGCGUAGUCGAUGGGAAACAGGUUAAUAUUCCUGUACUUGGUGUUACUGCGAAGGGGGGACGGAGAAGGCUAUGUUGGCCGGGCGACGGUUGUCCCGGUUUAAGCGUGUAGGCUGGUUUUCCAGGCAAAUCCGGAAAAUCAAGGCUGAGGCGUGAUGACGAGGCACUACGGUGCUGAAGCAACAAAUGCCCUGCUUCCAGGAAAAGCCUCUAAGCAUCAGGUAACAUCAAAUCGUACCCCAAACCGACACAGGUGGUCAGGUAGAGAAUACCAAGGCGCUUGAGAGAACUCGGGUGAAGGAACUAGGCAAAAUGGUGCCGUAACUUCGGGAGAAGGCACGCUGAUAUGUAGGUGAAGUCCCUCGCGGAUGGAGCUGAAAUCAGUCGAAGAUACCAGCUGGCUGCAACUGUUUAUUAAAAACACAGCACUGUGCAAACACGAAAGUGGACGUAUACAGUGUGACGCCUGCCCGGUGCCGGAAGGUUAAUUGAUGGGGUCAGCGCAAGCGAAGCUCUUGAUCGAAGCCCCGGUAAACGGCGGCCGUAACUAUAACGGUCCUAAGGUAGCGAAAUUCCUUGUCGGGUAAGUUCCGACCUGCACGAAUGGCGUAAUGAUGGCCAGGCUGUCUCCACCCGAGACUCAGUGAAAUUGAACUCGCUGUGAAGAUGCAGUGUACCCGCGGCAAGACGGAAAGACCCCGUGAACCUUUACUAUAGCUUGACACUGAACAUUGAGCCUUGAUGUGUAGGAUAGGUGGGAGGCUUUGAAGUGUGGACGCCAGUCUGCAUGGAGCCGACCUUGAAAUACCACCCUUUAAUGUUUGAUGUUCUAACGUGGACCCGUGAUCCGGGUUGCGGACAGUGUCUGGUGGGUAGUUUGACUGGGGCGGUCUCCUCCUAAAGAGUAACGGAGGAGCACGAAGGUUGGCUAAUCCUGGUCGGACAUCAGGAGGUUAGUGCAAUGGCAUAAGCCAGCUUGACUGCGAGCGUGACGGCGCGAGCAGGUGCGAAAGCAGGUCAUAGUGAUCCGGUGGUUCUGAAUGGAAGGGCCAUCGCUCAACGGAUAAAAGGUACUCCGGGGAUAACAGGCUGAUACCGCCCAAGAGUUCAUAUCGACGGCGGUGUUUGGCACCUCGAUGUCGGCUCAUCACAUCCUGGGGCUGAAGUAGGUCCCAAGGGUAUGGCUGUUCGCCAUUUAAAGUGGUACGCGAGCUGGGUUUAGAACGUCGUGAGACAGUUCGGUCCCUAUCUGCCGUGGGCGCUGGAGAACUGAGGGGGGCUGCUCCUAGUACGAGAGGACCGGAGUGGACGCAUCACUGGUGUUCGGGUUGUCAUGCCAAUGGCACUGCCCGGUAGCUAAAUGCGGAAGAGAUAAGUGCUGAAAGCAUCUAAGCACGAAACUUGCCCCGAGAUGAGUUCUCCCUGACCCUUUAAGGGUCCUGAAGGAACGUUGAAGACGACGACGUUGAUAGGCCGGGUGUGUAAGCGCAGCGAUGCGUUGAGCUAACCGGUACUAAUGAACCGUGAGGCUUAACCUU